rnacentral:sRNA from 1 species
CAAGAGGUUCGACUCGAGCGAAGCGAGAGAACGUUGCGUCAGCAACGGCCCGCAGGGCGAGCCACGUAGUGGCGAGU